AUUGAACGCUGGCGGCAGGCCUAACACAUGCAAGUCGAACGAGUGGCGGACGGGUGAGUAAUGUCUGGGAAACUGCCUGAUGGAGGGGGAUAACUACUGGAAACGGUCGCUAAUACCGCAUACCAUCGGAUGUGCCCAGAUGGGAUUAGCUAGUAAGUGGGGUAAGGCUCAACUAGGGGACGAUCCCUAGCUGGUCUGAGAGGAUGACCGGCCACACUGAAGCUGAGAAACGAUCCAGACUCCUACGGGAGGCAGCAGUGGGGAAUAUUGCACAAUGGGCGCAAGCCUGAUACGACCAUGCCGCGUGUAUGAAGAAGGCCUUCGGUUUGUAAAGUACUUUCAGCGGGUAGGCGUUACCCGCAGAAGAAGCACCGGCUAACUCCGUGCCAGCAGCCGCGGUAAUUC
rnacentral:rRNA from 1 species